AUAUUCUGAGCGAUUCUAGAGAUUUACAACGAUUCCCAGAGUGAUUCCGAGUGAUACAGAAGAAGAAAGAGAAGAGAGAAGAAGACAACACAGAAGACAGAAGAGCGAGACAGCAGCGAGUAACAUCUAGAGAAGAGGAAGAAGAACUUGCCCACCCCAUUCCUGAUCAUCUGGAGGAAGGGGCAUCAGAGAUGGGCUUGUGUCCCAGCAGGAAGUAUGACUUUAUGAAAGGCUACAGCCAGGCCUCAAGGUGGAUCUACAGGGAGGAGGGGAUCUUUGAAAUCACCGAUUUUGAGGAUCCCCGGGUGAGCCCUUACUUGGACUGCAUUAGGCAGUACAUCACUGCUGAGAUCAGGAGGGCCCUGUAUGAUUACUGGAUGGCCAGAGACUGCCUGACAAUCACCAAAUGGUGGUGGCUGACUUGGAAGGCUGAGUUCCGGAAGAACAGGAAUGAUGCCAAAGUCUACCUGGAGUACCUCUAUAAAUAACAAGAGGAGAUCAAUAGGGCCAUACUCCUGAAGAACAUCGACAGAUACCCAGACUACCCUCAGAACUGACAUCAGUGCAGGCAGCACCCACAGUGAGUACAGGUGCAGCUCAGUCUGGGGUACUUUAACAACCAGCAGAAGGUAAGACUUUCCCAAUCCUACAUCUGCCGCAAUUCCACCUGCGGAGCCUCCCCUUCCAUCCAAAAUAUGGUUUCAUACACAAGAGCACCAUAAGCUUCUCAGUAGACACUCAGUAGGCAUUCCUUUCCACUCCAUCCCUCAGACUGCAGGAGCCGGGGUCUGCAGGCUGCCUGGGGCCCAAUGGAAUGGGUGGAAUGGUGGGCCCCACAGCUAUCACAGGAUAUUUGUUAAAGGACUUACCCUCAAGAAAGAAAACUUGAAAAUAUUUAAGGCAUGAAAUAAAGCAAUAGUGUGGGCUUCCUGAUGUAGCCAUGGGGUCCGGGUGUGCCGCCCUCAACCAAUACGAACAGAUAAACCAUAAUCACAGAUACCAGACAUUCAUUUUAAAGAAUACCCAAAUAACAUUUUAUUCUACAAACCUGAAGGUGGUUGAGUUUGAGAUUCUCCAGCUGACUAAAAUGAGGGGUCUGUCAUUUAUAGAUGAUUUUUCAGUCAAAAGUGAUAGUACUUAAAAGGUUUUGAUGGUGGGCCCUGGGCAAUGGGACCUGGUCCUGUAUUUAAUACAAUUAAGAAAAAUUAGUUCUGCAUAGAUCUCAAUCUGCGCUUCCAGUUCUAUUGACCUCCCACCAGGCCUGGGGCAAGACACUGGGGCAAGGGGCAUAUAGGCCAAUCAUAAAAGGGGCAAUUAAGGCUGCUUUUGCACCCAUGAUUUACAGUAGCUUGAAGAGUGGGACCAAAGCUCCCAAAGUUGCUCCCUCAGGGGGCCAAAACUCCAAAAAUUGCCCCCAUUGCCUUCCCCUGUAAUUGCUUGGGGAGGUGCUUGCCAUGAAGCAGUCAGGCAAAAGCCAAUAGGGUUGAUUCACUAAAGUGCGUUAAUUUUUAUCGCACACUUUUUUGCGUUAAAAAAGAUGCGACAAUUAG